AGGAUUACAGGCGUGAGCCACCUUGCCCAGCCAUAAGGUCAAUAAUUUAUAGGGUGCCAAGAGCCACCUUUGGGGAAAUUAAUAAGGACAGCAAACUGCACGGUACAGGGGUAACAGGGGCCUUCUGCACAGUGGAUCCAGUAUCUGAAGAUACAGUUGUAACCAGAGUAGCAUACAAAUUUGUUUUUAGAGCCUUACACAUUCUUUUAAUCUUUUUGGCAACCUCAGGAAAUAAGACAGUUGUCAUUACCCUCACUGCACAGAGAGGAAAGUAAGGCUGGCUGAAUUUUCCAAGGCCAUACAAGCAGUCUUUAUCCCUUAACCUUGUCAAUCGGAAGAGAGGGGAGCCAUUUCCCUUUUAUCCAGUGACCCUCCUCCAUGCUAGGCCAGCCUGACACCCCUUCUUCCAGAAGAUUCUUCAUGCAAGUGGCAUAAUAUAACAGGGGACCACACAUCCCGGCUCCAAACCCCAUUGUCCAAAUCCCAAACCGCCUAAUCCUAACCAACAAGCAACUAUACUUACUCAUAGGCCUCCUCCCCUGUCAGGAUUUUUGCUGGUGCCAUGACCACAGCUGUUGGCUGCCAGAUCUGGACUCUGCCACACACUAGUUGCAAUACAACCAGUAGCCUGCCUGGGUGGCUUCUUUAAGACUUAGCAGAAGGUCCCACCUCUCCAGAACUCCCACCUACUUUCCUGCAGUAUAAGCCAGCCAGAAUCUUCAACGUUCAGAUAUUCAACUUCUGACCAAUCAGCACCUUGGAGCACACUACAGGCAAAUAUUUUUAAGUACAAAAAGGCCUGCAGGUAUUUCAUCUACAGAACAAAGUACAAGGCUCACCAAUGUUAAUCCAGCAAACAAGAAGACCUGUCCUCAACUGCGGUUCCAGGAACCCUGGAUACAAUGAAGAACCUGGAAACUCGCUUAGCUUCCGUCUCAAGAAUGUCCUUGGCCUAACAAAAGAGGAAAAGUAAGAACAUCCUGUCCAGUCCCUCCACCUGCAGCCCAACCUGCUAAAGCUGUAAAAACCACCUUCUUGAUCAAGAUUUCUCCAGGGCCAUUGGUCAGCUGCCCACUGCAGUCUCAGCACACAGGAGCUGGUAGGACUGUCUACCCCAUGAGCCAGAAAAUCACCAGCAGCUGCGCUUUCGGAAGCACAGUCAUCACGGGGCUUGUCCCUGCAGCACAGGAGCCGGCGGCCACAGCCCCCAGGCAGCCCAUCUGCAAGCGCAGAUUGUGCCUGGGGUCUCUUUCUUCAGCUGCAGGUCCUCACGUAUUACGGGCUCAGGACACAGUCCUCCCUUCCCGCCCGGCAAGCCUGAUUCUUCCGCUACAAGUGCCCCUCCCACAAAAAAUGGGUCCGAGGACCUGCACGCACUGCUCAGAGCCCUAGCUGCAGCCCAGACGCCCUAACAACAAUGUCAGGUGCUUACGCGGAGA